ensembl:snoRNA
AUCCUUUCGGUUCAUGAGCAUGAUGAUCGGUGACGUCACGGUGACUCCGUGAAAGGUGCAGCCCUCAACUUGUUACGCUCUGCGCCUCAGACCGUCUGACC